CCCGUAAUUCUAUGGCUAAUACAUGCGCACAUACCUCUUCCCUCGUGGAAGGGUAGUGUUUAUUAGAUACAGAACCAACCCACCUUCGGGUGGUCCUCAGGUGAUUCAUAGUAACCGAACGGAUCGCAUUAUGGCCUUUUGGUCGGCGAUGGAUCAUUCAAGUUUCUGACCUAUCAGCUUUCGACGGUACUGUAUUGGACUACCGUGGCAGUGACGGGUAACGGGGAAUUAGGGUUCGAUUCCGGAGAGGGAGCCUGAGAAACGGCUACCACAUCUAAGGAAGGCAGCAGGCGCGCAAAUUACCCAAUCCUGACUCAGGGAGGUAGUGACAAGAAAUAACAACACUGGAAAUUAUAUUUCUAGUGAUUGGAAUGAUGGGAAUCCAAACCCCUUUCAGAGUAACAAUUGGAGGGCAAGUCUGGUGCCAGCAGCCGCGGUAAUUCCAGCUCCAAUAGCGUAUAUUAAAGUUGUUGCAGUUAAAAAGCUCGUAGUUGGAUAUCUGCUGGAAGCAGCCAGUCCGCCCUUUGUGGGUGUGCACUUGGUGAAUUCUGGCAUCCUCCUGAUUGGUGUUAUCAUCACUUCAUUGUGUUGAUGGCAGCUGUCAGGACCGUUACUUUGAGAAAAUUAGAGUGUUUCAAGCAGGCUUGUUGCCUUGAAUACUGCAGCAUGGAAUAACAAGAUAGGAUUUCGGUUCUAUUUUGUUGGUUUCUAGGACUGAAGUAAUGAUUAAUAGGGACAGUUGGGGGCAUUCGUAUUUAACUGUCAGAGGUGAAAUUCUUAGAUUUGUUAAAGACGAACUACUGCGAA
rnacentral:rRNA from 1 species